rnacentral:lncRNA from 1 species
CAGAGUUGAGGUUCUAGGCGAAACUCACUUUCUAUAGGCCACAUCAGUUAACAUCUCCAAUGUUCUCCAUUUCUAGUAAUGUAUGUGGUCGUCCAUGUGAAGCGAAGGAGAGUGCAAUCAUCCGUGCUCUCACUUAUUUUGAUGAAGUUCUGGGCCGGACGAUUGGAGACAUUAACUAUAUUCCAUAUCUAAGGAGGUGAGCUAGAGUAUGAUGAAAUAUGUAACAUGCAUGGUUGUACAUGCAUUUUAACUUGUUCUCUAUAGGACCUUUAAUUAUUGAUGUAAUAACUUGCACUAUUAUCAGAACUGCUUAUAUUAUAUUGUGGCUUGGAUGUACC